rnacentral:rRNA from 1 species
UACGUAGGGGGCUAGCGUUGUCCGGAAUCAUUGGGCGUAAAGCGCGUGUAGGCGGUCCGGUAAGUCCGCUGUGAAAGUCGGGGGCUCAACCCUCGAAUGCCGGUGGAUACUGUCGGGCUAGAGUGCGGAAGAGGCGAGUGGAAUUCCUGGUGUAGCGGUGAAAUGCGCAGAUAUCAGGAGGAACACCUAUUGCGAAGGCAGCUCGCUGGGACGUAACUGACGCUGAGGAGCGAAAGCGUGGGGAGCGAACAGG